rnacentral:rRNA from 1 species
GAUGAACGCUGGCGGCGUGCCUAAUACAUGCAAGUCGAGCGAACAGACGAGGAGCUUGCUCCUCUGACGUUAGCGGCGGACGGGUGAGUAACACGUGGAUAACCUCCCUAUCAGACUGGGAUAACUUCGGGAAACCGGAGCUAAUACCGGAUAAUAUAUUGAACCGCAUGGUUCAAUAGUGAAAGACGGUUUUGCUGUCACUUAUAGAUGGAUCCGUGCCGCAUUAGCUAGUUGGUAAGGUAACGGCUUACCAAGGCAACGAUGCGUAGCCGACCUGAGAGGGUGAUCGGCCACACUGGAACUGAGACACGGUCCAGACUCCUACGGGAGGCAGCAGUAGGGAAUCUUCCGCAAUGGGCGAAAGCUUGACGGAGCAACGCCGCGUGAGUGAUGAAGGUCUUCGGAUCGUAAAACUCUGUUAUUAGUGAAGAACAAAUGUGUAAUUAACUAUGCACGUCUUGACGGUACCUAAUCAGAAAGCCACGGCUAACUACGUG